GACGAACCGUGCGAACGUUGUUCGGAAUCACUGGGCUUAAAGGGCGCGUAGGCGGGCUGCCAAGUCCGGGGUGAAAUCUUUCGGCUCAACCGGAAAAGUGCCUUGGAUACUGGCAGUCUUGAGGGAGGUAGGGGUGUGUGGAACUUCCGGUGGAGCGGUGAAAUGCGUUGAUAUCGGAAGGAACGCCGGUGGCGAAAGCGACACACUGGACCUUUUCUAACGCUGAGGCGCGAAAGCCAGGGGAGCGAACGGG
rnacentral:rRNA from 1 species